GUCCUCGUGGAUGAGGGAACUGAUGAAAACGGUGUGUGUACAGAAAUCAUCACCCCAGUGACGAACAGUCAGGGUGAGAAGAAGAAGCUCCCCUACCCCAGGAACCACUGGAAGAAUUGCCUGCCUUUGAGGGAGAAGAAGAGGCUCUGUCUGACACUGAGGUGAGCUCCCUUUCUUUAUCUCAGAUGAAAAUGCGGCUUCAUUUCUUUUUUCAGUCAAAGGCAGUUACAAAAUUCAGACCAUGUAUGUUAUAGCUGAUGUAUACAGUUUCCUUGGUUGGGGUAUGUUGAGGGAAAAUCAAUUACAACAGAGACCUGAUUCAUUAAAUCUUUCCCCAAAAGUUAGCAUCAAAUAACUACCGUCCUAAGAGCAGGCCCUUUCCCCAGCAGAAUAUUUUCCUCCUUGAAGCAGAAUUGUAUGAUACCUGUUUUAAAUUGGACCUGAGAAGUUUCCAGGAAAAGCUAGAUCCUUUCCCACUGAUGUCCUCUCAGGUUCCUUUGGGGACCAUCGAUGCAAGGACAGUUUCCCAGUUAGUUUUCUGAGGACAAAGAGGAAACAAAUGACCUGUGAGCCCAGAGCACAGGAAGCUUAGAUCCUCACACUGUCCUUAUUUUGUUUUUUCUCUAAUUGCAGGCACAAACAGUAGUCAUGCAAAGUUCUAUGUGUUAUGACAUCGACACUCCACCAAUGAACAAUCAGGUUUCUAUGUAUUAUGAGGUGAACACUCCACCAAUAAGCAAUCAGGUUGAAGAAGAUGGGAGAGCCACCGGAUUCCGGGUUCCUGGUGGGAAUGAGGGCUGGGGCUGUAGAGCAAGCGACUCUUGCCCAGUGAGGAGCAGUGCCAAGUACUGUGGUCCUGGAAGACACUACGUCACUGCAUCUCUGGGCAUCUUUGCUGGAGACGAAGUGGAGAUGCACCUGCUUUGGGGAGGUGGCUGGCGAGAAAGAGAGCGAAUGUGGGCCCCGCCCCGUGAGGCAAAGCUCACUUCCUGA
rnacentral:lncRNA from 9 species